AACGAACGCUGGCGGCAGGCUUAACACAUGCAAGUCGAACGCCCCGCAAGGGGAGUGGCAGACGGGUGAGUAACGCGUGGGAACAUACCCUUUCCUGCGGAAUAGCUCUGUGAAACUGGAAUUAAUACCGCAUACGCCCUACGGGGGAAAGAUUUAUCGGGGAAGGAUUGGCCCGCGUUGGAUUAGCUAGUUGGUGGGGUAAAGGCCUACCAAGGCGACGAUCCAUAGCUGGUCUGAGAGGAUGAUCAGCCACAUUGGGACUGAGACACGGCCCAAACUCCUACGGGAGGCAGCAGUGGGGAAUAUUGGACAAUGGCGCAAGCCUGAUCCAGCCAUGCCGCGUGAGUGAUGAAGGCCUUAGGGUUGUAAAGCUCUUUCACCGAUGAAGAUAAUGACGGUAGUCGGAGAAGAAGCCCCGGCUAACUUCGUGCCAGCCGCCGCAGUAAAAC
rnacentral:rRNA from 1 species